rnacentral:rRNA from 1 species
GACGAACGCUGGCGGCGUGCCUAAUACAUGCAAGUAGAACGCUGAAGCGAGGAGCUUGCUCUUCUUGGAUGAGUUGCGAACGGGUGAGUAACGCGUAGGUAACCUGCCUUGUAGCGGGGGAUAACUAUUGGAAACGAUAGCUAAUACCGCAUAACAAUGGAUGACACAUGUCAUUUAUUUGAAAGGGGCAAUUGCUCCACUACAAGAUGGACCUGCGUUGUAUUAGCUAGUAGGUGAGGUAACGGCUCACCUAGGCGACGAUACAUAGCCGACCUGAGAGGGUGAUCGGCCACACUGGGACGGAGACACGGCCCAGACGCCUACGGGAGGCAGCAGGAGGGAAUCUUCGGCAAUGGGGGCAACCCUGACCGAGCAACGCCGCGUGAGUGAAGAAGGGUGUCGGAUCGUAAAGCUCUGUUGUAAGUCAAGAACGAGUGUGAGAGUGGAAAGUUCACACUGUGACGGUAGCUGACCAGAAAGGGACGGCUAACUACGUG